GACGAACGCUGGCGGCGUGCUUAACACAUGCAAGUCGAACGGAAAGGCCCUGCUUUUGUGGGGUGCUCGAGUGGCGAACGGGUGAGUAACACGUGAGUAACCUGCCCUUGACUUUGGGAUAACUUCAGGAAACUGGGGCUAAUACCGGAUAGGAGCUCCUGCUGCAUGGUGGGGGUUGGAAAGUUUCGGCGGUUGGGGAUGGACUCGCGGCUUAUCAGCUUGUUGGUGGGGUAGUGGCUUACCAAGGCUUUGACGGGUAGCCGGCCUGAGAGGGUGACCGGCCACAUUGGGGCUGAGAUACGGCGCAGACGCCUACGGGAGGCAGCAGUGGGGAAUAUUGCACAGUGGGCGGAAGCCUGAUGCAGCAACGCCGCGUGCGGGAUGACGGCCUUCGGGUUGUAAACCGCUUUCGCCUGUGACGAAGCGUGAGUGACGGUAAUGGGUAAAGAAGCACCGGCUAACUACGUG
rnacentral:rRNA from 1 species